GACGUGAGGGGACGAGCGUUGUCCGGAUUCAUUGGGCGUAAAGCGCGCGUAGGCGGUUUGGUAAGUCGGAUGUGAAAACCAGAGGCUCAACCUCUGGCCUGCAUCCGAUACUGCCCGACUAGAGGUAGGUAGGGGAGAUCGGAAUUCCUGGUGUAGCGGUGAAAUGCGUAGAGUAUCGGGAGGAACACCAGUGGCGAAGGGCGG
rnacentral:rRNA from 1 species